GAUGGUCUUAAGGUCCCGCCCCCUGCUCCCAGCCUGCCUCGCGUCCGCAACAGUGUCACUUGGAGGAGACAAGAUGGUUCCACCGGUGCAAGUGUCCCCGCUCAUCAAGUUUACAAGAUAUUCUGCAUUAUUGCUUGGGAUUGCAUAUGGAAAAUCAAGAUAUGAAUAUUUAAAACCAAUUGCAGAAGAGGAUCGGAGGAUAGAAGCUGAGGAGAAAAAGAAGCAAGAAGAAGCAGCUCGCAUUGCAAGAGAGUUGGCUGAGCAAGAAGACACCAUUUUGAAAUGAAUUUCUUCUCCUCACCUCUGAGUAGAUCAACUGCAGUCUGACUCUCUUGUUGAUGUCACCUAACCUUGUUUAAAACAACAUGAUCUGGUUUGUAAAUGUUAAUUGGAUGUAUUUUAAUAAUAUAAAAAUUCAUUAAAAAAAAUUGUAAUUAUGGUUGAUUA